rnacentral:rRNA from 1 species
GAUGAACGCUAGCGGCAGGCCUAAUACAUGCAAGUCGAACGGUAACAUGUCCUUCGGGAUGAUGACGAGUGGCGCACGGGUGCGUAACGCGUAUGCAACCUACCCAUUACUGGGGAAUAGCCCCGAGAAAUCGGGAUUAAUACCCCAUAAUAUCACAUGAUCUCCUGGUCGAGUGAUUAAAACUCCGGUGGUAAUGGAUGGGCAUGCGUGACAUUAGUUUGUUGGUGAGGUAACGGCUCACCAAGACUACGAUGUCUAGGGGUUCUGAGAGGAUUGUCCCCCACACUGGUACUGAGACACGGACCAG